rnacentral:rRNA from 1 species
GACGAACGCUGGCGGCGUGCCUAAUACAUGCAAGUAGAACGCUGAAGGAGGAGCUUGCUUCUCUGGAUGAGUUGCGAACGGGUGAGUAACGCGUAGGUAACCUGCCUGGUAGCGGGGGAUAACUAUUGGAAACGAUAGCUAAUACCGCAUAAUAGUAGAUGUUGCAUGACAUUUGCUUAAAAGGUGCAAUUGCAUCACUACCAGAUGGACCUGCGUUGUAUUAGCUAGUUGGUGGGGUAACGGCUCACCAAGGCGACGAUACAUAGCCGACCUGAGAGGGUGAUCGGCCACACUGGGACUGAGACACGGCCCAGACUCCUACGGGAGGCAGCAGUAGGGAAUCUUCGGCAAUGGACGGAAGUCUGACCGAGCAACGCCGCGUGAGUGAAGAAGGGUUUCGGAUCGUAAAGCUCUGUUGUGAGAGAAGAACGAGUGUGAGAGUGGAAAGUUCACACUGUGACGGUAUCUUACCAGAAAGGGACGGCUAACUACGUG